CAUAGACACGCCACCCAUUCCUUUUUUACUCUCCGCACUCUUCUUCAACCCUUCCUCAACUCAAUUCCUCCACCCACCUCACAGAACCACCACCUGUUUAAAGUGGGCUGUAAUUUCGUGUUAUAAUACCCAUCCCUGUUUUCCCUCUGUAAUCUUGUUUCAUCCCUUCCCUCCACCACCACUUUUUAAGAUGGGCCGUAAUUUCGUGUUAUUAUCUCUCAAUCAGAUUCUGUGAAGAAAUCAGAGAUGGCUUAUGCUGCUGUAUUAUCUCUCAGUCAGAUUCUGGAGCAGAUAUCAAAUCCUCAUCUAGAACAACACCAGACUCCUCUUCAGGACCAACAAAUUAAAUCUCUCCAGGAGAAGUUGAGUUUCUUACUUGAUUUUCUGGAUGAUUCUUGCCAGAUAAGGAACGAGGAAUUACGACGUUUGGAAAGGGAAAUUCGAGAUGCAGCGUACAAAGCUGUAGGUAUCAUCGAGUCACAUAUGUCAAAAAUUAUUGGUGAGGAAGGUUUCAAAGAAGGACAAGAUGGAGACCAAACUUUUUGUGAUAACUUGGAAGAAGUAACAGGUGAAAUUGAUUCUAUUAAGACAAAGGCGGCUAAGCUUAAGGAACUGUGGGGCGCAACAGAUCUGCACCAGAGCCAGAUGACUUCUUUGCCAACCGUUUUGUCAACACUUGCUUCAAGCGGCGAUAAUGCUAUGGUCGGGGUUGAUAAUGAUUUGAUUCAAAUAAAGGAUCGACUCACUGGAAAUCAAGAUACUCUCCAAGUCAUCUCUAUUAUUGGCAUGGGAGGCAUUGGCAAGACCACAAUUGCUAGAUCUGUUUACAAUGAUCCACUUAUUGAAGAACAUUUUCACACUCGUGCCUGGACAUCAAUUUCUCAUGAAUAUGAUGAGCGAAAAGUCUUGCUGAGACUUCUGGAUUCCAUGGAACUACUCAGUGCUGAAAUGCGUCAUGAAACUAGUACUGAAAAAUUAAGAGAGUAUCUAUAUAAAAGUUUAAAAGGUCGGAGGUAUCUUCUUGUGCUGGAUGAUGUUUGGGAUCCCGAGGCUAUGGAUUCUUUGAGAAGGAUAUUUCCAGACGACAAGAAUGGAAGCCGGAUCAUGUUGACAACACGCAUGUCGAGUGUGGUUGACCCCCAUCACUCUUCCCAUCAUAUGCAAUUUCUAAAUGAGACGGACAGUUGGAAUCUACUUUGUCAGACGGUGUUUGGGGACGAUUCUUGCCCUCGUGAACUGGAGGAAACUGGAAAGAAGAUUGCACAAAAUUGCAAAGGACUUCCACUUUCCCUUGUCGUGAUUGGCGGCCACCUUUCCAAAGCCAACAGGACAAAAGAUCACUGGGAGUAUGUUGCAGAAAAUGUCAAGUCAGUUGCAACUGCAACAGAUGCAAACUGCUCAGAAAUACUAUCUUUAAGUUACGAUUACUUGCCUCAUCAUCUCAAAGCAUGCUUACUUUAUAUGGGAAUUUUUCCAGAAGAUGAUGAAAUCCGUGUCUCCAAACUCAUCAAGUUAUGGGUUGCAGAGGGAUUUAUAGAACCAGUCAGACAUAGAACCCUGGAAGAAUUGGCAGAGGAAUAUUUGGAAGAGCUAGUUUCCAGAAAUCUUAUUUUGGUUCGUGAGAGGAGUUCUAGUGGAGAGAUAAAAACCUGUGGCAUCCAUGAUAUGACAAGGGACCAGUGCUUAAGAAAAGCUGAGGAGGAGUUUUUUCGAGUCACAGAUAAAGAUUUCAACGUUUUUCACAAUGAAUUGUCGAACAGUGACAAUUCAAAUGUCAAUCCAUCCAUGGAAUCCUUUCCACCAGUCCAUGCUACUUUGUGUUCUGAUUUUGCUAGCGAGAUUUAUGAAUCAGGUGAUGGAGAACGUUUUCCACUGAACAGGGUGUUGGAUCUUGCUGAAGGAAAAGUAGAUGGUUUCCCAAUUGGAGAAAUAAAAUUAGUUCACUUAAGGUACCUUGCUUUCUCCUGUGAUGGGAAAAUUUCCAUACCUAAACCAUUACCUGAUUUUCUUUGGAAUCUACAGACCUUAAUUGUAGAUUGCAAAGAAGUAAAUCUUCCAGAGGAAAUAUGGAGGAUGCCACAGUUAAGGCAUCUCCUGUUCGGGAUGUGUUACUUGCCAUGCCCUACUAGAUCACAAAUAGAUGGGGAGAAUUUAGCUCUAGAAAACCUUUUAACAUUGUCGAAAGUGAGUAGUUCCAGCAGUACCAAGGAGAUCUUUGAAAGAGUUCCAAAUCUAAAGAAGUUAGGAAUUUUGAUUGAAGAUUUGAAAAUGACUCCCUUUUCUCUAGGUAAUUUGGUUAAUCUUCCUCAACUCGAGACUUUGAAACUCAUAAGCGAAUAUAGACAUGUUAGAGUCCCUCCGAAUUUCACUUUCCCACCAAAUAUUAAAAAGUUAACUUUAGAGGGUUGCAGAAUUCCUUGGAAACAUAUGACUAUUGUUGGUUCAAUGCCCAAUCUAGAAGUGCUCAAACUGCUACGUAACUCCUUUGUUGGGCCAGAAUGGGAGCCAACGGAAGGAGAAUUUCGCAAAUUAAAAUUUCUGCUACUUCGCGAAAUAGAUCUAGUGCAUUGGAAGGCUGAUGACACUCGCUUCACACGGCUUGAGCACCUAAUUCUUAGGCAGUGCUUCGAACUAAAGGAGAUCCCUUGUAGUAUUGGAGAUAUACCAACGCUUCAAAUCAUUGACUUGGAUGACGCUAGCCCUUCAGCUGUGACUUCGGCAAAGCAAAUACAAGAAGAACAAAAGAACUGGGGAAAUGAUAGCCUUCAAGUUCAUGUCCAUUACAUAAUCGAAAACAUCUACCGAGUGAGAAAGGAAGCGGAGGCUGAAAUUAUAGUUGGGUCAAAUGCCGACACACUGCUACUUAAGGCUACAAAACAGUUCUACACACUUCUUUUACAUGACCCAAUUAAGGAAGUAACACCUGGAGUUGUUCCUCGACUCUUUGAGUUUCUCGAUAGAGAUGAUUACCCGCUACUUCAGUGUGAGGCAGCAUUGGCUAUAACAAGUAUUUCAAAAUGUUCAUCUGAUAACAUCAACAUGCUGAUUGAUUGUGGCGCGGUUCCCAUUUUUGUGCGACUUCUAAGUUCUCCCGAGGAUGUUCUUCGCGAACAGGCACUUGAGGUGUUAGGAUAUUUUGCCCGUGACUCAACAAAAUCUCGUGAUCUUGUCCUUACUUAUGGAAUAUUAAUGCCCUUAUUGGCACAAUUUAAUGAUAAAACAAAACUAUCCAUCAUGAGAAAGGCAACGUGGACAUUGUCAAACCUUUGUCAGGGAAAGCCACUGCCUCAGUUCGACCAGGUGAAAUCUGCCCUCCUUCCUCUUGCUCAUCUGAUUCAUACAGAUGAUAAAAAAGUCCUUAAAUAUGCAUGCUUGGCAUUACUCAAUCUAACUGAUGGAACAAAGGAUAUAAUUCAAGCUGUGAUAAAUGCUGGUGUUUUUCCUCGCUUGGUUGAACUUUUACUAUAUCCUUCGCCAUUAGUUUCUAUUCCUGCCAUGUGCACUGUUGGUAAUAUUGUUUCAUAUGGAGAUGAUAUCGAUAUUCAGGAAGAGUGUCAAAGAGACCACUUGUUGGAUCAUUUCAAGAAUCAUUCAACGGACUAAGGAUCAUAUUCAGCUAUGCAAAUCACUAUGGAAUUGUUUUUGCCUUUGUGGUUUAAUUGGAACGUCAGACGCAGCGGCACCAUCAAUUGAACAGAAUAUUUGAACAAUCCAUGUUUCAAGCUUUUCUAAUGAGUUAGCAGGUGUCAGGCAAACAAUAAACCUAUUGAGAUCAUUAAUGUAAUAGAGAUACUGACUCCCUACUUGUUUCCUCUAUCUCUGUUCGAAGUUGUCAAGACAUUCCAAGCUAUAGGCCUUCAAACGAGAAUGAAUGUCGUGGCUGGAUUCCUAGGACCACCAUUUGCAAUGGAGAAGCCAGAAAAUCAUUCAUCAACUCAUCACAGAUUUCCAGAGAACUUGAAUGAACAAAUCUUUUUGUGUGCGCAGGAUCCCAUUGUCCCAAACGACCACUUCUAAACCUUAGAAAUGAGUAUGGUUUUAUGUUCAAAGAAGUUAUCAUGCAAUGCUUUCUACCAAAGAACAGAAUAGGGAAUGUCUGGUAAAAUUCCCUGACAUCAA